rnacentral:rRNA from 1 species
UACAGAGGGUGCGAGCGUUGUCCGGAAUCACUGGGCGUAAAGGGCGCGUAGGUGGCGCCCCAAGUCCGUGGUGAAAGCUCGAUGCUCCAACAUCGAGUCGGCCACGGAAACUGGGGGCUCGAGCACUGUAGAGGCAGAUGGAAUUCCGGGUGUAGCGGUGGAAUGCGUAGAGAAUCCGGAAGAACACCGGUGGCGAAGGCGG